AAUCAAAUUUUUUGAUAAUCAAGAUCUUUUAUGUGCAUGUUCUUGAAAAUUUUUAGUUGCUAUUAAAGAUUUUUAGAAUUAAAAAAUCUAAUUAUUUCCUAUUUGUUUAAUGUAAUACUGUUGAUUUUUAGAAUUUAUAGAAUUAAUCUGAUUAUAUUAUUAUAAAUCAUUGUUUGCCGGGUUGCUGAGUUGCUGUUGUUAUUGAACACACUGCUGGGUGGUGGUUCUUGUUACUGGGUUUGCUGGGUUGUUAGGUGUAGUUUAUUUGUUAGUUUUUCUCAUUGAAUUGAAUUAAAAAAAUCGGGUUCGCAUAUUGUCCGGGUUAAACGGGUUUGGGACUGACGGGUUUGGGACGGGUUCGGAUAGUAAAAUUAAAAUAUUAAACAGAUUUGGGACGGGUUCGGAAUUGUAUAUAUAAUUGGGUUCGGGUUUGGGUAAUCUCAAUUUUGCGGGUAUCCUACCCAUUUACAUCCCUAGAUCUUGAGAUUGAGUUGUCAUCCAACUGAGACUCGUCAGGACCUGUUUUUGGGCACUAGAAAGAGAAUAUAGAUACAGGAAAUAAACAAUGGUUCCCUUGUUUUUGUCGGAACCUAACCGGAAAGAAGAUGGAGUUCGUGGAGACAGUGUCGUUGCCAAGCAAUGGAUAUCGCAUUUGAACCAAUUGGAAUCCCUUAUCUGGUCGUUGAUGACUGCUGGCGGUGGAGCAGAAGCUCGUUUAUGGCUUUGCAGUACAAUAUCAGGCAUUACUUCCUUGACCUCCCGCCAGCAGCGGGACCUCUUUGUGAACUUACUGAGAACCAGGCCUACAAAUCAUAGUUUGGCUUCCCAGCUCCUGCAAAUGAUAUUUGAGAAGCAGCCGCGGAAAGCUGGACCCAUCAUAGCCAAGAGAAGUUAUAUGCUUGAGAAGUUCUUUGCAGGCAUGAAAUCCAAAGCGUAUAAUGCAAUGGUUUUCAAAUUUUGCUAAUGGGGUGGAUUGGAUCACAAAAAGGGUGCCAAAGCAUUAUCGCAAUUUGCAUUUGUGAAUCGUGAUAUAUGUUGGGAGGAGCUUGAGUGGAAAGGAAAACAUGGGCAAUCCCCUGCCUUGGUGGCUACAAGGCCUCAUUACUUUCUUGAUUUGGAUGUCCAACGAACAGUGGAAAAUUUUCUUGACAAUGUACCUGAAUUUUGGUCUUCCACUGAGUUUGCUGAGUCCUUGAGAGAUGGUGAUAUUUUGUUCCUUGAUACCAAGUACUUUGUCGAAUUUUUUGUUGGCUUGAUGUACAAAGAGGAUUCAAGAGAUGUAUGGGAAGUUAUAAGUCAGUUUCUUAUGAAUGAAUCUUUUUCCUUUUUGUGUAACCGCCUCCUUAUCACUCUUGGAGACAGGGAAUUGUUCACUGUUCUGGAAUUGCUUCAUGCAUAUUUAAGCAUGAAUAUGGAACCAGUGGAUUUUGGUAACUCAUCUUGUUGGCUUGAGUUUGCACUUUCUAGAUUCAAUGAUUGUGAAUCUUUUGAGCAGCUGCUUCUGUUAAAUGCUGUUAUCAAUCAAGGACGCCAGCUUCUGCGGCUUGUGCAUGAUGAAGAGUCCCAAGAGGAACAAACAAAAAUCAAGGACAUUGUAUCUCAGACAUGCACAAUCUCAAGCACGGGAAACAUCUUGGAUCCUUUACUGAAUGAAUGCUUCAAGAUGAAGACAACAGAAGCAAUUAUGUUCUUGGGGCUUCAGUCUUGGGUUAUUCAUUAUGCAUUAUCAGACGAAAGCCGAAUUUCAGAAUCCUGGGAAUCUUUAUUUUCAAAUAAUGGUAUAAGUUUCCAAAAGUCUUAUAAAUAUGCAAUGCUACAUCACGUCGGAUUGUCAGAAGAAAGUGACUAUGAAUUGGAUAAUGUUGCACAGUUAAGAGAAAGCGCAGGAAGAAAAAGAAAAGUAGAAAAAAGAAAAGGAACUUUGAUGAUGAGGAAUUCUAUGAGAAUUAGCUGCUGGAUCUCGACACCUCAAAUAAUCAGCUAGGUUUGCAAUCUAAGGCUGGAAGUUGGUUGCUUUCCACGGAUGGAUUUUCUGCAUCAUGGACUGAUGGAACUCAUUUCCUUGGAUGAUGUUAUGGAGGAACUGGGUCUCGAUCCCAGUGGAGCUCUGAUUUAUUGCAUGGAGUAUUCUUUUUUCCUUGUAUCAUUCUAAUAUGAACCUCCUCCAUACUUAGUUUAACUUAUCAAGAAUUUCUUGUAGCAUUUUCAAAACUGAAAUCGCUUGAUUAUCUAUAUUUCUAAUCACAUUGGUUGGUUAGGGGUGUGAUAGACCAACUUUCGCUCUAUUAUCUAUGUUUCUAAUUACAUUCAUUGGUUAGGUAUGUAGUAGAGCAACCUUUUGAAAGUUAUCUUUACUUUGUUCUUUAUUAAGUUGUAUGUUUUUAAUCGCAUCACCAUACGUACAUGCAAGUAUGUCUUCAAGUAAUCUAAUAUGUCCAUUAGAAAGUAUAGAACUCUCCUAGUAACAACAAAACAUAUUUGAGAAGCAGCCGCUGAAAGCUGGACCCAUCAUGGCCAAGGGAAGUUAUAUGCUUGAGAAGUUCUUUGCAGGCAAGUGGGUUUUAUCUAUUGGACAAUUUGUAGUCUAUAAAUGCAUUUCCUUGAUGUUUACUUGUUUCUUGCAAAGAUUUCUUUUCUGAAGAAAUGUUUUCAUGGGCUCAAAUUGGCCUCUUCUCUAUGUUUAUAUGGUGAAAGUAGCUUAAUUGAACGCAUGACGUGGGCAAUCCCCUGCUGUGGUGGCUACAAAGCCUCAUUUAAAAAUAUAGAUUAAAUAAAAUUUAAAAUUAAAUUAUUUAUUAUUUAAAAAUAUAGAUUAAAUUAUAAAUUUUAUUAAAUUUUAUGAUAAAUUAAUAGGUAUAUAAUACUUUACCUAAGGAUGGCAACAGCUAGGGUAUCCGCAAAAUUAAGAGUAUCCAAAUCCGAUUAUAUGUAAAAUUUUCGAAUCCGUCUCAAACCUGUUUAGUAUUUUAAUUUUACUACCCAUAUCUGUUCCAAAUUCGUUUACCCGAUACCCGCACAAUAUCCGAAACCGACUUAAUCCGAUUUUUUUACUUCAAUUAAUGACAAAAAAUUUUAAGAUUUGGAUAUUGUAACCCAAAUAACCAACCUGAAUUAGAAAAUUUAAAUAUAUUUAAACAAAAUAAAUAUAUUACAAAUUCAUCAUAACACAACCAUUAAUCAAUUAUCUAUCCAACAUAAAAUUUUAAACAAAUGAAAUGUUCCAAAAGUUCAUUAAACUACAUUGAUUGAACAUAAAAUAUAUUCAAUUGGUCAUUUCAAUCUUCAAUAACAAAUUGUGCUUGAAACUUUAAAAAGAUAAAUACAGAAAAAUUAAAAUAUCACAGCUGUAAAAUGAUACACAUUAUCAUAAAAAAUAAUGGAAUAAAAAAAAGAAUAAAAAUCAAACUUACAUAUCAAUAAUUUAACUCACAAAUAAACUACCAACACUUAAAACAUAGAUCGUAAAUCAAGUUUGAGAACUUUAAUCUUGCAUUAGUCAUAUACUUGUCUGUCUCUACUCUGAAUAGUUGUCCUUUAUGCUUAAUAACAUAUGUUUCUAAUUUUUUUUCCUUUUCAUGUCUGAAUUGGUUUGCAUUCUGAAAGUUAACUUUUUUACAGCCUCGGGACUGUGUGGUUGGCUCUAUAAUUAAAGACAUAUAUUCCUCAAGAAGCUAUGUCCAAAGUAUGUUAGCCUGCCUUUAUAUUUUUCAUCAGGCCUGGGUGCUGUGAAAACUGCAAUCCCAUGGAUGCCUGAUAAUGAAGCUCUGUGAGAUGUUGGCACAUGUGUACACUUGUGAUACAUUCUGUCAUUUAUGGGCUUCUUGCCAAAGCAAGGGGAAAAAAUUUCCAAAACUUAUUACAUGCUGAAUUUUUUUCCAAAUCAUGAUGGGAUUUAUUUGUCCACGGUGAAUAGUUCAAUUACUUUAUCGAUACUCUUGGUGUUAGCAAGACUAUUGGCAUGUAAAGUAAAUAAAUAAAUAGAACUCCUUGUUAUCUGGACGAUGUCUUUGUCUGGAAAACUUCUUUUUAGAGUAUAAGGACGUUUACAUGGAUGGGGCAACAUUUGCUUUUACAUUGUUACAUAUAUUUGUUAUAAAUGAAAAAGGCAAUAAGUUUAAUUAU